GAAAUGCGAUAAGUAAUGUGAAUUGCAGAAUUCAGUGAAUCAUCGAAUCUUUGAACGCACAUUGCGCCCCCUGGUAUUCCGGGGGGCAUGCCUGUUCGAGCGUCAUUUCACCACUCAAGCAAUGCUUGGUAUUAGGCCUUCGUCCUCCCCCGCGGUGGGCGUGCCUCAAAACCUUCGGCGAAGUCUUUCCGGCUUUGGGCGCAGUAGAAUUUCUAAAACGCUCUGUGAGUCCGGACGGAUCUUCCGCCGCGAAUCGAUCCCUCGGGAUCAUUUUUCAAGGUUGACCUCGGAUCAGGUAGGGAUACCCGCUGAACUUAA
rnacentral:misc_RNA from 1 species